CGCCCCCUCCGUACUGCCGCUGUCCAUCCAGGAAAAAUACAGCUGUCAUUCUGUCAACUGUUCUCCUGUGGCUGUGAACGACCGGGCACACAAGCGACAGGAGGCCAGGAAUCACUUCAUUUAAGGAGAGACCAUCACAAGAUGUUGCCUCAACACUGAAGCAAAUCAGAGUCGCAUGCUUAACGACAAAGAAACUUAGAGAGAACCCUGUUCAGACUUGAACAAGGGUUCGAGCUCCAGUUCCGACUGGGCCCCAGUCUUCAGGGCAGGAGGGUUAUAGUGCACACCAACUACCCACUGGAUAGCCACCCAUUUAAGCGAGACUGCUUCCGUGCUUUGGCUUGGAACUACCCAUCAG